AACCUCUGGAGAAUCUCUUGGAUGAGAUGCCGAAGGUGCAAGGCACGCGCAUGGCGCGCUGCUCAAUCUCUCAGGCACAAGGACAGAGGCG
rnacentral:ncRNA from 1 species